rnacentral:lncRNA from 1 species
AUUCCUCCUCUUCCCCACCAGGGGAGGGGGCUGCUCCCUUUCUUCCAUCUUCUCCCACCGAGCUCUUCACAAGGGAGUUCCCACAAAAGAAUAAAAAAAAGGAGAGGGAGAGAAUACUUUGUGAUAUUUUGGGAAUAGAGGGAGUGGGACGAAAGCGGAAUAUUUUCAUAUGAAGAUGGGAGCCCGCUGCUGUGCUGCUGCUGCCGUCCUCCACUGCAUGGAAGCUUAAAUUCCUCACUAGGGCUGGAUGCAACCCUGACAAAGGGACACGGGUUUUAUAUUUUAUUUUAUAUUCUUGGAGUUGUAUGAACUUAUUGUUUUUAAUGAAUAUCUUCUUUU